ensembl:lncRNA
GGGCGGGCACCACAGUGCCUGGUGCAGCCUCUCCUCUGUGCCAGGCAUUCUUCCGGGGGUGUGUGCAAGUGGACACAUAUUCCCGGCCCAAACAGGAUCCCGGGGCCUGGAUCGUUUGCCCAAAACAGUGGUUGCCACAGGAACGAGAAAGCUGGGGGGCCCGGUCUGGCCUUGGGCAGGUGUCUGGACCUUUCUGCCAAUCCCUCCUCAUUCAGGGAGGAAGCUGGAGGUCUGUGGAGGAUUUUGGGGUACAAUUUGAAAUGCAAUGAAGGCAGGGCUGCAGCUGGGAAGCUGCUCAGCCUGCAGGCAGCCCCCAGCCUGUCUGUCCCAGCCUCGCCAGGCCUGUCUCACGGCAGGGCUGCAGCCAAACCUUUAUUGGUUAAAUAGCACAUGUGGCCAAGUUUACUGGAGAAAAACAACAGCCAGGAAUGAAGACGGCUUUUCGGGCUGUUUUCCACUUUUCCUCCAAGCAGCUGAAGGUGCUCCUAGGGGCUGGAGCAUCGCGGACGCUGCGACCAGGCCCUGACCGGAGGUCCUUUCAAGCUUGAAAUGAGAACCCCAGACCCCCCAUGAGCUAAAAGCUUUGGUUUGUUGAUGGUUCAGAGGAUCUAAACUCAGCUUUGCUGGAAGGAAAGAGAAGCACCAGCAACAAGAAGCUAGUUCUCACUGCUCAAGAGAAUUCUGAGCAUUCUGCUGUUUAAUUCCACCUACCGGCCUCCACUGGAGGGGCCAGCCUUCCUCUUAGGGUGAAUCUCACCAAGUCUGAUCGCCUGGUCACCCCAGCUGUGGUGGACCUCGCAAAUGCGCCCUGGAGGAGCUUCAAACCUCAGGGUCUGCGUUUCAUUCGUUCCCCUCCAGCUCAUCCUGUCAUUGACUCUAAACGGCCGGUGGGGCCUUUGGUGCAGCACUGCCCGGGCUGCAGACACUGUCGCUGGCGGCAAGGAGAGGACAGUCUCUGUCUAGACAGUGGUCAGGGAAUCGGGCCCCUCACCCCUGACUCGAGCCCCCUCCUCACUUGGCGAAGCAGCUGCAGGAGGAAAAGGGUCCUGAUGGGGCCCUACUCCUCCUGAGGACUAAAAUAUCCAGCAGACGACUGGGUGAAUCUCACAGACGGUCCACUGAGGGGAAGAGGCUGGACACCAAGAGAGCGGAUUGCACGCAUCCAUCUCCAAGGGACUCAAAACCAGGCCAAACUCAUCUGACGGACCCCUCAGAACACACGCUGCCUGUGGUGGCAUGGGGAAGUCAGCAGAGAAGGGAGUGACAUGAAAUUCUGGCUGGGUGGAGACAUCUUACAUGUUAUCGGGUGAGGGCUACAGAGGACUGUCGAUUUACCAAAAUUGUACAAUUCAUUAGACGUAAAUUCUACCUUCAAAACCCCCACAUCCUUCAGGACAGAUAGUCCAGGAGUGGGAAUCAUGACUGGGCUUCAACAAAAUACCCAGACUCAGACCCUGCUAAGAAUCUCAAGAAUUCUUUCCUCUUAGCUGGCUGCUGUCAUCCAAAAUCCAAUUCCACUGAAAGCUCUAAAUUGUCUGGGGAAUUACUCUGGGGAGAUUCCUUUCUCUGUGGCUUCCUUCCUUGGCUUCUCUGCUGACUUAGCCCAGCUUCUAGUAACUGAAAUAUGUGGCAACUGGAAUAUAACUUCUCCAGGCAAGUAAAUCUACAAACCUCCAUCACUUCUGUUUGAAUGUUUCUCUGAGAAAAUCUCUCAAUGGCCAGGACUCAGUAGUAGUGUUGAGUUAGAGAGCAGGGUUUGUUGAGUUAGAGGAGGGUUUGUUGAGUUAGAGAGGAGGGUUUGUUGAGUUACAGGAGGGUUUGUUGAGUUACAGGAGGGUUUGUUGAGUUAGAGGAAGGUUUGUUGAGUUAGAGGAGGGUUUGUUGAGUUAGAGAGGAGGGUUUGUUGAGUUAGAGGAGGGUUUGUUGAGUUAGAGGAGGGUUUGUUGAGU